GGUUUACUAAAGCCCGAAACGUACAUCAAUUUUCGCAAAUUUGCCCAUUUUAACGGUUACCCGGUUGGAUAACAGGUUUCGGAACACGUGGCGUGACACAGACUGACGAACACACUGUUGGAGGCUAACGAAGCGCAAGCGUGGGAGAAACGGUGACUACCGAGAUUUGAGAGAUGGGAACACCUCCAGCGGAUUACAAGUUCGAUUGGGUUUUUAAUCACUGCCAUGGCUUGCGAAGCUAAGAUUUUAAAGGUUUCCUGGAGACAAAUCGGAUUAAACUGAUGAUGGUGGUAAGAAAAAAUGAAAAGGGAUUCUGAAUUAAAAAGUUGAUGUUUAAUUAGACAAAUCAGGCCACCACAUGUGAGUUUCUCUUUGCGGCUCUCUAUAAAAAAAAAAACCACCAUCGUUGAACGUAUCCCUCUCUAACUAUGUAUAUGUGUGUGCCUUUGUUUAUAUGAACACAUAUUGUGUAUGUGGUAGAAUAUAUCUUUUGACUUCAUGUAACAGUUUUUUCGUUGUAUGCACAAUUGGAGAAUAUAGAUGCAGGAAUCUCUGUCUUAACCAUUGACUAUUCUAAUCUUUUACACAUAAAUUGUCUAACAAGAACAUGGUUUGAAGCGUUCCUUUGGAUUUUUCCAAGUUGAUCAGCUUAGUGGAGUUCAGGUGGCUCGAUGGAACUCCAUUGGAUAAGGGUGGGCCUACAUUGUGGCAAAUCUGAUAGAGUUUUCACAAACAAGGUUAAGGUCUAUUUGAAAGUAUGGUCAGAUAUUUAUUCUUUUCAUGUUUGUUCGUCACUAACACAAACACUACUUUAACACAUGGGUUUGAUGUGGAAUGAAUGUAUAACAUAAAAACAAUUGUUUACAAUAAACCUUUUUAGCAGUCAACAUAACACCAUUUGUGACA